rnacentral:tRNA from 1 species
UCCACGGUGGCCGAGUGGGCGAAGGCGUGAGACUAUGAUCUCAUUGGUGAAAAUCAGUCGCGGGUUCGACUCCCGUCCGGGGCA